GAUGAACGCUGGCGGCGUGCUUAACACAUGCAAGUCGAACGGUGAAGCAGGAGCUUGCUCUUGUGGAUCAGUGGCGAACGGGUGAGUAACACGUGAGCAACCUGCCCCUGACACUGGGAUAAGCGCUGGAAACGGCGUCUAAUACUGGAUAUGUGAUGUGACCGCAUGGUCUGCAUCUGGAAAGAAUUUCGGUUGGGGAUGGGCUCGCGGCCUAUCAGCUUGUUGGUGAGGUAAUGGCUCACCAAGGCGUCGACGGGUAGCCGGCCUGAGAGGGUAACCGGCCACACUGGGACUGAGACACGGCCCAGACUCCUACGGGAGGCAGCAGUGGGGAAUAUUGCACAAUGGGCGGAAGCCUGAUGCAGCAACGCCGCGUGAGGGAUGACGGCCUUCGGGUUGUAAACCUCUUUUAGCAGGGAAGAAGCGAAAGUGACGGUACCUGCAGAAAAAGCACCGGCUAACUACGUGCCAGCCGCCGCGGUAA
rnacentral:rRNA from 1 species